rnacentral:rRNA from 1 species
UACGGAGGGGGGCUAGCGUUUGUUCGGAAUUACUGGGCGUAAAGCGCACGUAGGCGGCUUUGUAAGUUAGAGGUGAAAGCCCAGGGCUUAACCCUGGAAUUGCCUUUAAGACUGCAUCGCUAGAAUCGUGGAGAGGUGAGUGGAAUUCCGAGUGUAGAGGUGAAAUUCGUAGAUAUUCGGAAGAAACACCAGUGGCGAAGGCGACUCACUGGACACGUAUUGACGCUGAGGUGCGAAAGCGUGGGGAGCAAACAGG